rnacentral:rRNA from 1 species
GACGAACGCUGGCGGCGUGCCUAAUACAUGCAAGUCGAACGCAGUGGGGACGGGUUAGUAACACGUGGGUAACCUCCCAUCAGAGGGGAUAACACUUGGAAAAAGGUGCAAAUCCGCUACUGAUGGAUGGAACCGGGGUGCUUUUGCUAGUGGGGGAGGUAACGGCUCAACAAGGCCACGAGGCAUAGCCGACCUGAGAGGUGAAUCAGCCACACUGGGACUGAGACACGGCCGAGACUCCGACGGGAGGCAGCAGUGGGGAAUAUUCGACAAUGGGCGAAAGUCUGACCGAGCAACGCCGCGGGAAUGAAGAAGGUUUUCGGGUCGUAAAACUCUGUUGUUAGGGAAGCGGUAUCUAACCAAAAAGCCACGGCUAACUCCGGGCCAGCAGCCGCGGUAAUUC